rnacentral:lncRNA from 1 species
GCCAGAUGAUCUUUGAGGUCCCUUCUGACCCUCUUCUUCUGACCCUGCUCUUCCUUCCCAGGGCUCUGACAGCACAGACCCCAAAGAUGCUACCCAGCCUGAAGGAGACCAGCCUCAGCAGAUCCAGGCGGGCGAGAGAGCCCCGGCCCCUCGAUUCCGCCCCAGAUACCGCAGACCUUUUCGCCCCCGUCCUCCGCAGCAGCCCACCACGGAGGGAGGAGACGGCGAGACGAAAGCGGCUCAGGCGCCGGCGGACGGCAUCCGUCCCGAGCCUCAAAGGCAGCGCAACCGGCCUUACUUCCAGCGCCGGCGCCAGCAGACAGCAGCUCGCCAGGCGGCGACUGAGGCAACCACCAAUACUAAGGAGCAGCCGGCCCCCAGCUCCGCAGCUGCUGGCGGGGACACCCCAGCUGCCAGCACUCCUGUGAUGACUCAAGAGCCUGUGGUGGAAGCCAGCAAGUCUGCUUCCCCGGCCCAGGAAAGCCCCACCCAGCCACUGCCGGAAAUCCAGCAACAGCUUGUGGAUGUAAGCAAGGUGGGGUGGAUGCGGGGGGGGGGCUUGGACCCCUGGCUAAUACUCCCCCAGCUUCUCCAUAGACUCUCCUGCUCGAGCAGGGGGUUGGACUAGAUGACCUCCAGGAUUGUCCCUUCCAACUCUCUGUUAUUCUAAUGCCUUAGCUUGCAAAGGGCCCCGCAAUGCCUUUAUGCGCCACCAGGGGUCACUCUUGAUCCACAUUCUGCAAGUAGCAGCCCACGGUCCACUCAAUCAGUCAGGAUAGAGCUGGAAGGGACCUUGUAGGUCAUCUAGUCCAACCCUCACCCACCCCGCCCAAACAAGAGACCCUACACCUGUUUUCCUUUCUUUUUUUUAAAAAAAAAUCCCAGACACCUGAGCCUGGGGGAGAGCUUGCCCCUGCUUUACUGGCGUGAAGAGCCUGCACACACCGAGGGGAUGCCAAGAGCUGCGAUUUGGUAAGUCUUUUUAGUCUUCGUUUUCAAGAGGGACUGAAUUUUGCGAGCGGCCUAACCAUAUAUCGCCCCUCCGAGUGUUGCAUUUAACCUCAGACAAACCCCCACCUGACUUUUAAUUUUUUACUUUAAAAUUAUGAUUAAUUGUGGGGAGAGGAUGGGGGUGUUGAAAGCUGCCAGAUUAUCUUGAACUCCUUAAAUUUGCAAAUGGAAAUUUGCACAGUUUCUCCCUCUUCUACUAAGUGCUUCCUUGGCUAGGUAUCUCUCAAAUGCACCAAGAUUUGUUUUUGUUUUUUUAAAGAAAAAUUGGCUUUUUCUCAACUACCCCCCCAACUGCCUGCAAACCCAUAGGAGUUCUUGGGAAGCUGGCUAAGAAGUUGUAUUUCCUAGCCUGCCAAUUUUUAUUUUUAUUUUAUUUUAGCCAAGGGGAGGUCUUGCUUCUCAGAUUUAAGGGGGAGGGGUCCUCAAUGCACUUAUAGAUUAACCAAAUUGGAAGGGCCCUUGUAGGUCAUCUAGUCCAACAACCCCCCCCCCCAAGCAGGAGACCCUACACCAUUUCUGGUGCUCCCUGAGCAGGACUCUACUUUUCUUGCAGACGUUUCACUACCCGAAGUAGGUAACAUCAUUAGUGCUGCAAGAAAACAGCCCCAGGAGGCCACAAUUCAGUGCUUAGCAAAGAGUCUCUUUUAUCGGUGUCCAGAUUUUAACUUUGCAAUGCCUCACCCUGCCUCAAUAUUUCAGGGUUUCCUUAAACCCCAGACCAUUGUCCGGUUUGCUUUUCCGUCCGUUGCAGGUGUCCAGAAUGUGCCUCCAACCCAAGUUACCUCAUCCUGCACUUGAAAAGACCCCAAACUUCACCAAUAACCCUCUUUGCUGCUGUUGAAGUUCUAAAAUGUUUAAAAAAGAAGAAAGAAAAAGAAAAAAAGAAGAAUAAACUUGACUGGGGUGGUGGUGGAAUAACUUGA